UGGGGAAUAUUGCACAAUGGGGGGAACCCGUGAUGCAGCGACGCCGCGUGAGUGAAGAAGUAUUUCGGUAUGUAAAGCUCUAUCAGCAGGGAAGAGGAUGACGGUACCUGAGUAAGAAGCCCCGGCUAACUACGUGCC
rnacentral:rRNA from 1 species